rnacentral:rRNA from 1 species
CAAAUUGAGAGUUUGAUCCUGGCUCAGGACGAACGCUGGCGGCGUGCCUAAUACAUGCAAGUCGAGCGAGCUGAAUUCAAAGAUCCCUUCGGGGUGAUUUGUUGGACGCUAGCGGCGGAUGGGUGAGUAACACGUGGGCAAUCUGCCCUAAAGACUGGGAUACCACUUGGAAACAGGUGCUAAUACCGGAUAA